UAGGGAUUUCACCUAUAAACCCUAAUAUCCCAUUAUAUAGCAUGUAAAUGAAUCUUGCAAUUAAGACGUGAAGAUAGAAAGGCAGAUUGUGAAUGCGAAUAAUGGUGGGAGUCUCCAGGUUGCAGAUGAAGCAUCGGUGUGUUUCAAUUUCAUCUCAAGUUCAUCAUGGUUGAAACACACAAGAACCAAUCGUUCAAUCACGCUCUUCGAAACAACGAAGAAAUUCCACCGGUCACAGACGUUUGUUCUUCCUUCACUCGAUCGAUCAUCCUAUUUUUUCUGCUACCACGAAACAGAUCGGUCCCAGAUGAUGGUGGUCACCAAACUUCGACUUCGUUUCCUGCUAAAAUUGAUGGUUUUGACGGUCUCUGACUCUCUGGUUGAUUGGCGGUAGCCGGAGAGGCGAUUUGAGCAGGUGGAGCCAGAAGUUCGAUUGAUUAUUCGUGUUCAUGGGUGGCGGACUGCAUCAGGAUGAAAACAUUGAAGAUGCUGAAAUGAAACGUACAUUUAAUAUGGGAAUCGGGAUGGCUUUGGUUACUGGCGAAGAGGCUGCCCAAAGGAAAGAGUUGAUGCAAUCGGGGGUACACGUUUCGAUGAUGGUGUAGGUGGAGAUAAUGAGGUCCAACGAACCAUGCUUGAAAUUGUGAAUCGGCUUAAUGGGUUUGACGCUCGUGGUAAAAUUAAAGUUCUGAUGACCUGAUACACUUGACCCAGCAUUGUUAAGACCGGGAAGGCUGGAUCGAAAAGUGGGGUUUGGGCUUCCAGAUAUGAAAAGUAGGACACAAAUAUUUAAGAUUCAUACACAAAAAACACUGUGAAAGGGAUAUUCGUUUGAACUUUUGGCUCGUCUUUGCCCUAAUUCUACUGAAGCUGAUAUAAGAAGUGUGUGCACAGAGGCUGGAAUGUAUGCGAUUCAAGCCCGACGGAAGACGGUGACGGAGAAACAUUUUCUUGAUGCAGUGAAUAAAGUGAUCAAGGGUUAUCAGAAGUUCAGUGCAACUCCCAAAUACAUGGGGAUGACUCUUGAAGAAUAUCAAAAGCCAAAAGGAAUGAAUUCAAACGCGAGGGAGCAGGUCGCGGGAACUGGGUAAUGAAAUUGCUCGGUAUCUUUUUUUUACUUUCUAUAUAAUUAUUAAAUUUAGAGGUGGGUAAAGGGGUGGCUUCGGUAACGAGCUAAAACGGGUUUGGGUCAAGGCAUCUAAAUUACUUAAAGGGAAUAUGGCCAAACCGCCAAAGUCACCUAAAGUAAUCGACUUAUUAAAAAGUAAUAUUAUUUUGUAGUGUCGUUUUUGCCAUCAUAUGUAGCGCAUUAAUUAUUUUUAGAACAUAAAAUCUGGACAAAAAGUGUUUUGAGUGUCAACCCAGCCCACCCCCACCAGGUGACUUUGGCCAUAUUCCCUUUAAGUAAUUUAUAUCAUUUGACCCGUUGGGAGAUAAAAGAUGAGCCAAAUUGGCCCAUUAUUAGGUAUAUGGUUUGAAAGCUUCGCCUAUACUUGAUACUUUUAUUUCUUCGAGUUAGUAAUGCUUGUUAUGCUUCCUCACACGGAGAAGUGGUGAACGAAGGGGAGAAAACGCUGGUUUCUGAUAAAUCGUUUAACGUGGAAGAUUCAAACGAUGAGAAAAAGAAGAAUGCUGUAAAUGAGUCCGAGGAGAAGGAGCUUGAGGAUAAGGUAAAUGUAAAUCUAAAAUGUGGAAAUCCACUUUUAGAAGGAGAAACAAAGCAAGAUCUUCUGAAAAUGCUUUACUAUGUUAACAAUCAAAUUCGGUAGUUUUGUGAUGGCCAAUACGGGUUGCAGUGGGUUGGGUUCGGCUCUUUUUGAUGACCUGCUAACGCUUUUUUGACUGUUUCUUUUGAGUGAUAUAAAUAGCUCAAACUGUAUGCAUCAAGAGUCCUCUCAAAACUUGGAUCAGAUUUAACCGGUGGAUGCAUGAAUCCAGCUGCUGUUGGCUGUAACACAGAUGACAAAAUUCGAGGUGGUAUAUUCAAAAGUCAACACAUGUCAAAUAUGCGUUUGUUGAUAACGGGUCAGAUGGGUAAAAUAGAGAAAUUUAGCUAAAAGAAAUCAAACGGGUCGGAAGUUGGCUCUGGACUCAGCCUACAACAUACAUUCAUUUUCUUCAAAAAAAAGGCUGUUGGGUGGGCAUAUGCUCUUGGUGUUCAUAAAACAAAGGAGCAUAUAGUUGUUUAUUGGUUUGCCCCCAUCGAGGCGACUUUAUUGGUUGUAUGGACAUUUAGGUUGCUGGUACGGCAGCCAAAACCAGAGAAACAGAAGAAACAGAAGACUAACUGAAGGUGAUUCUAUCACACCUCACACGGUUGCACAAAACCAAUCCUUCUACAUAUAUAGAAUGAAGAUUCCAUUUACAGAAUUCUACAUUAUAGAUUUUUUGGUCUUCCAUACCAAUUGCAUUCUUUAAUCUCCAAAUUAGAGAUAAAAGUGAUGUAUACUCAACUCAUGUUGUAUUCCUUUAUCACAAAAUUGCAGAAGCUUUGACUUUUACAAGUCAAUUAAAUAUUGAAUGUGAUGUACUGAUGUAAUACAUAUUUUGAUUAAGUCCA